CCAAUAGCGUAUAUUAAAGUUGUUGCAGUUAAAAAGCUCGUAGUUGAAUUUCGGGAUUGACACAUCGGUCGUGCCUUAAGGGGUAUGAACUGGUGUAGUCAAUUUCUCACCUUCUGGAGAACCGCGAUGCCCUUAAUUGGGUGUCGCGGGGAACCAGGACCUUUACUUUGAAAAAAUUAGAGUGUUUAAAGCAGGCAUUUUGCUUGAAUACAUUAGCAUGGAAUAAUAAAAUAGGACGGCAUGAUUCUAUUUUGUUGGUUUCUAGGAUCACCGUAAUGAUUAAUAGGGAUAGUUGGGGGCAUUAGUAUUCAAUUGUCAGAGGUGAAAUUCUUGGAUUUAUUGAAGACUAACUACUGCGAAAGCAUUUGCCAAGGAUGUUUUCAUUAAUCAAGAACGAAAGUUAGGGGAUCGAAGACGAUCAGACACCGUCGUAGUCUUAACCAUAAACUAUGCCGACUAGGAAUCAGACGAUGUUAAUUUUUUAAUGACUCGUUUGGCACCUUACG
rnacentral:rRNA from 1 species